rnacentral:rRNA from 1 species
GGACGGGUGAGUAACACGUGGGUAACCUACCCAUCAGAGGGGGAUAACACUUGGAAACAGGUGCUAAUACCGCAUAACAGUUUAUGCGCAUGGCAUAAGAGUGAAAGGCGCUUUCGGGUGUCGCUGAUGGAUGGACCCGCGGUGCAUUAGCUAGUUGGUGAGGUAACGGCUCACCAAGGCCACGAUGCAUAGCCGACCUGAGAGGGUGAUCGGCCACACUGGGACUGAGACACGGCCCAG